AGCAGCCGCGGUAAUUCCAGCUCCAAUAGCGUAUAUUAAAGUUGUUGCAGUUAAAAAGCUCGUAGUUGAAUUUCGGGAUUAGUACGUUGGUCGUGCCUUCGGUACGUACUGGUGUUACUGAUUCCUACCUUCUGACGAACCAUCAUGUCAUUAAUUUGGUGUGGUGGGGAAUCAGGACUGUUACUUUGAAAAAAUUAGAGUGUUUAAAGCAGGCUCGCGCUUGAAUACAUUAGCAUGGAAUAAUGAAAUAGGACGUUGACCCUAUUUUGUUGGUUUCUAGGAUUGACGUAAUGAUUAAUAGGGAUAGUUGGGGGCAUUAGUAUUCAAUUGUCAGAGGUGAAACUCUUGGAUUUAUUGAAGACUAACUACUGCGAAAGCAUUUGCCAAGGAUGUUUUCAUUAAUCAAGAACGAAGGUUAGGGGAUCGAAGACGAUCAGAUACCGUCGUAGUCUUAACCAUAAACUAUGCCGACUAGGGAUUGGAUGAUGUUAUUUUUAAUGACUCA
rnacentral:rRNA from 1 species